AUACUUACCUGGCAGGGGAGAUACCAUGAUCACAAAGGUGGUUUUCCCAGGGCGAGGCUUAUCCGUUGCACUCAGAAAUGCCCAGAGAGGUACUUACCAAAUGCAAU
rnacentral:snRNA from 1 species